GACGAACGCUGGCGGCGUGCUUAACACAUGCAAGUCGAACGGAAAGGCCCUGCUUUUGUGGGGUGCUCGAGUGGCGAACGGGUGAGUAACACGUGAGUAACCUGCCUUUGACUUUGGGAUAACUUCAGGAAACUGGGGCUAAUACCGGAUAGGAGCUCCUGCUGCAUGGUGGGGGUUGGAAAGUUUCGGCGGUUGGGGAUGGACUCGCGGCUUAUCAGCUUGUUGGUGGGGGAGUGGCUUACCAAGGCUUUGACGGGUAGCCGGCCUGAGAGGGUGACCGGCCACAUUGGGACUGAGGUGCGACCCGGACUCCUACGGGAGGCAGCAGUGGGGAAUAUUGCACAAGGGGCGGAGGCCUGAUGCAGCAACGCCGCGUGCGGGAUGUCGGCCUUCGGGUUGUAAACCGCUUUCGCCUGUGACGAAGCGUGAGUGACGGUAAUGGGUAAAGAAGCACCGGCUAACUACGUG
rnacentral:rRNA from 1 species